ACCACCGAAAGAACGAUUUUCGGAAAUUUUCCCACAAAAAAGAACGUAGUACCAGUAAUGGUUCAUAGAAUUGAGUAAAAAACAAAUUCCAAUUAAUUGUUAAAUAGAUUUAACACAUCUUUAGUUAGUUGCAAAUACUUCAUUAACUUGAAUGUGAAUAUGUCCCCGUCAAUGAAGAGAGGUCCAUAAUGGAAACGAUAAUUUGUUUAAGCUAUAUAUUUUAUGUUUUAUGCGCAAUUUAAUCCAAUGAAAUAAAAAGUUUUUUGUUCAUAUGAAAAAUA